UACGGGGGGGGCAAGCGUUGUUCGGAAUUACUGGGCGUAAAGGGCGCGUAGGCGGUCUGUUAAGUCGGAUGUGAAAACUCUGGGCUCAACCCAGAGCCUGCAUCCGAAACUGGCAGGCUAGAGUUCUGGAGGGGGUAGCGGAAUUCCUGGUGUAGCGGUGAAAUGCGUAGAUAUCAGGAGGAACACCGGUGGCGAAGGCGGCUACCUGGACAGAAACUGACGCUGAGGCGCGAAAGCGUGGGGAGCGAACAGG
rnacentral:rRNA from 1 species